UGCAACAUGCAGCUUGGAGUUGCCAUCCACCCGGUGGCAAUUGGGCAACCUCCUCCCCAUGAAGCCUUUCACAAUGCCCGGCUCGGUCCUCGUCAACAACAAGGCCACGAGAACGCAACUUAUAUGAGAAAUUUACUUGUAUCUCGACUCCGCGUUAUCGUGUCACUAUGGCAACAGUGGCAAUUUACAGCAUUCUAGUCAUCAACAAGUCCGGUGGCUUUAUAUACUACAAAAGGACUAUGGUUCGGCCGGGAGAAUGGACACCAACGACAUUCUACAAUUUGCAAGACACUCACAUUUGAUGCAUGGUGUCUUGCUUCAGUUGUCCCCUACCACUGGUUGUAAUGGCAUUAACAUCCUACAGGCCUGCAGCUUCAACCUCCAUUGCUUCCAUUCUUCCAUAGUUCUAGAAAUAUUAUCAAAGCAUCUUCUAUGAAGGGAUUGCUAUUAAUUUCGGCCUUAUAGAGGCUCA